AUACAGGACCAAAGCAGACUGAAUGGCUCCAAUUAUCAGAAUGUGAAAGCAUGAGUCGGAAUCUACUUUUUGUACGUCUACUCUGAGGAGUCUCUUCUUUAGCCAAGCAGUACUGGGCCAUGAGAACAUAUCCACAAAGUUGAAGUCAGCUCUGUGAGCCGUGGAGUUCUCCCCAGCUCUGUGAAGCCCUGUGAAGCAGAGUUUUCGGAAGUGAUGAUUAUUUUGAGUCAAAAAUGAUCACCGGACACCACGUAACGUAUACACCAAAGGAACUCAAGAAAUAAUAGCCGCUGCGGGAGCGCUCUAGGCUCCGCUGCCCCUCGGCAUUCAGCCUCCUGUGUGAUUAACCCAGAGGUUGGCCUGACAUUGACCCAGUCCCCAGAUGGAAGAGUCACCUUAUCCUUGAAGCUGUCACUCUUUAUUCGGCACUUUUAUCUUUAUCAGUGCUGUUUUCAUCUUGAAAUAUAAACGCAGGAACGCCUCAAUCUGCAUCUCAACCUAGCCCCAGGCUGAAGGGUUCCGCCAGUGUUAUCAAACACUAAGGCUUGUGCCGUGGACAAUUCAGUCAAUGGUGGCUCACAGAUAUGGCGGUAGUCCCACAGAUUACCAUGAGUUGGAAAGUUCCUACAACCCAGUGAUGUCUUAGCCACCAUAGCAUAAUAACUCCCAUGCUUGUCGUUACGUUGGUGCAGACAGACCUAUGCCAGCUUCGGAGAAUCACUGGAUCAGUCCACGUCAACCUGAACCUGAAAGCCAAAUAUCUUUCCCUCCUUUGUUAGGUUCAUGUUACCCUGAACCUGUGAGCUCAGUAGAAAUUUUCUGGUUAUCUGGAGCCGGCAGUUAUUCAUUAUAGCUCCCCACCACUGACUGACUGAGGGUUAAUUAUCAUCAAACAUCUAUCUGCCCACGGUGAGCUACAAGCUAUGCCAGGUGUUUGGUGAAUAACACUAAUGUAAUUUAUUUUACUGUCUGAUUUUCU
rnacentral:lncRNA from 1 species